rnacentral:rRNA from 1 species
AGGGAAUAUUGCACAAUGGGCGAAAGCCUGAUGCAGCAACGCCGCGUGUGCGAUGAAGGCCUUCGGGUCGUAAAGCACUUUUCUGCGAGAUGAGAAAGGACAGUAUCGUAGGAAUAAGUCUCGGCUAACUACGUGCCAGCAGCCGCGGUAAAACGUAGGAGGCGAGCGUUAUCCGGAUUCACUGGGCGUAAAGCGCGUGCAGGUGGCGCGGUAAGUUGGGUGUGAAAUCUCCCGGCUCAACUGGGAGAGGUCAUUCAAUACUACCGUGCUUGAGAGCAGAAGAGGAAGAUGGAAUUCCCGGUGUAGUGGUGAAAUGCGUAGAUAUCGGGAGGAACACCAGUGGCGAAGGCGAUCUUCUGGUCUGUUUCUGACACUCAGACGCGACAGCUAGGGUAGUAAA